GAUGAAGAACGCAGCGAAAUGCGAUGAGUAAUGUGAAUUGCAGAAUUCAGUGAAUCAUCGAAUCUUUGAACGCACAUUGCGCCCCUUGGUAUUCCGGGGGGCAUGCCUGUUCGAGCGUCAUUACAACCCUCAAGCUCUGCUUGGUCUUGGGCGUCACCGGUCCCCGGUGUGCCUUAAAAUCAGUGGCGGCGCCAUCUGGCUCUAAGCGUAGUACAUACUCUCGCUACAGACGUCCGGUGGAUGCUGGCCAGCAACCCCCAAUUUAUCAAGGUUGACCUCGGAUCAGGUAGGGAUACCCGCUGAACUUAAGCAUAUCAAUAAGCGGAGGA
rnacentral:misc_RNA from 1 species